CCUACGGGAGGCAGCAGUGGGGAAUAUUGCACAAUGGGGGAAACCCUGAUGCAGCCAUGCCGCGUGUGUGAAGAAGGCCUUCGGGUUGUAAAGCACUUUCAGUUGUGAGGAAAAGUUAGUAGUUAAUACCUGCUAGCCGUGACGUUAACAACAGAAGAAGCACCGGCUAACUCCGUGCCAGCAGCCGCGGUAAUACGGAGGGUGCAAGCGAUAAUCGGAAUUUAUGGGCGUAAAGCGCAUGCAGGCGGUUUGUUAAGUUAGAUGAGAAAGCCCCGGACUCAGCUUGGGAUGGUCAUUUUGAACUGGCAGAGUAGAGUCUUGGAGAGGGGAGUGGAAUUCCAGAUGUAGCGGUGAAAUGCUUGGAAUCUGGAGGAACUUCAGUGGCGAAGCAAACCCCCGGGCCAA
rnacentral:rRNA from 1 species